rnacentral:rRNA from 1 species
UACAGAGGUCCCAAGCGUUGUUCGGAUUCAUUGGGCGUAAAGGGUGUGUAGGUGGCGCCGUAAGUCGGGUGUGAAAUCUCGGGGCUUAACUCCGAAACUGCAUUCGAUACUGCGGUGCUUGAGGACUGGAGAGGAGACUGGAAUUCAUGGUGUAACAGUGAAAUGCGUAGAGAUCAUGAGGAAGACCAGUGGCGAAGGCGGGUCUCUGGACAGUUCCUGACACUGAGACACGAAGGCCAGGGGAGCAAACGGG